rnacentral:rRNA from 1 species
AGCGAACGCUGGCGGCAGGCCUAACACAUGCAAGUCGAACGAACCCUUCGGGGUUAGUGGCGGACGGGUGAGUAACACGUGGGAACGUGCCUUUAGGUUCGGAAUAACUCAGGGAAACUUGUGCUAAUACCGAAUGUGCCCUUCGGGGGAAAGAUUUAUCGCCUUUAGAGCGGCCCGCGUCUGAUUAGCUAGUUGGUGAGGUAAUGGCUCACCAAGGCUACGAUCAGUAGCUGGUCUGAGAGGAUGAUCAGCCACAUUGGGACUGAGACACGGCCCAACCUCCUACGGGAGGCAGCAGUGGGGAAUCUUGCGCAAUGGGCGAAAGCCUGACGCAGCCAUGCCGCGUGGAUGAUGAAGGUCUUAGGAUUGUAAAAUCCUUUCACCGGUGAAGAUAAUGACUGUAGCCGGAGAAGAAGCCCCGGCUAACUUCGUGCCAGCCGCCGCCGUAAGAC